ACGUAGGGGGCUAGCGUUGUUCGGAAUUACUGGGCGUAAAGAGCUCGUAGGUGGGAAAAUAAGUCUUGCAAUGAAAGCUGUGGCUCAACUGCAGUAAAUUGUGAGAUACUGUUUUUCUUGAGAACAGGAGAGGGGAGCGGAAUUCCUAGUGUAGCGGUGAAAUGCGUAGAUAUUAGGAGGAACACCAGUGGCGAAGGCGGCUCUCUGGCCUGUUUCUGACACUGAGGAGCGAAAGCUGGGGGAGCGAACGG
rnacentral:rRNA from 1 species